GGCAUAGUUUUCCCGCAUGGGAUAAUUAUUAAAGAAUUUCGGUUGUCGAUGGGGAUGCGUUCCAUUAGGCAGUUGGCGGGGUAACGGCCCACCAAACCAACGAUGGAUAGGGGUUCUGAGAGGAAGGUCCCCCACAUUGGAACUGAGACACGGUCCAAACUCCUACGGGAGGCAGCAGUGAGGAAUAUUGGUCAAUGGACGAGAGUCUGAACCAGCCAAGUAGCGUGAAGGAUGACUGCCCUAUGGGUUGUAAACUUCUUUUGUACGGGAAUAAAGUGAGCCACGUGUGGCUUUUUGUAUGUACCGUAUGAAUAAGGAUCGGCUAACUCCGUGCCAGCAGCCGCGGUAAUACGGAGGAUCCGAGCGUUAUCCGGAUUUAUUGGGUUUAAAGGGAGCGUAGGCGGGUUGUUAAGUCAGUUGUGAAAGUUUGCGGCUCAACCGUAAAAUUGCAGUUGAUACUGGCGACCUUGAGUGCAACAGAGGUAGGCGGAAUUCGUGGUGUAGCGGUGAAAUGCUUAGAUAUCACGAAGAACUCCGAUUGCGAAGGCAGCUUACUGGAUUGUAACUGACGCUGAUGCUCGAAAGUGUGGGUAUCAAACAGGAUUAGAUACCCUGGUAGUCCACACAGUAAACGAUGAAUACUCGCUGUUGGCGAUAUACAGUCAGCGGCCAAGCGAAAGCAUUAAGUAUUCCACCUGGGGAGUAC
rnacentral:rRNA from 1 species